CCCAACCGACUUCUGGUUCUCGGGAGAGUGUGUGUGAGGGUGCGAGUACUAAAGCAAAAAAAUAAAAAUAAUUCCUCUACUAAUAUAAUGGAUAUAUGUGUGAAUAGAGAAUAUGGAGAGAUAUAAAAAAAGGGAGGUAAGAAAGCCCACGGAAAAGAGUGUAAAUUAUAAAGAUCACACGGGAAGAGAGGCUUGCCUUUUGAGAUCAGAAACUGUUCCAGUUGCAGUGAUUUUUCUUUAAAAAAAAAAAGGAAAAAAUAAAAAGACACCCCCCACCCCCCCCAAGUGAGAUGCCUUAAUCUCUUUUCCUAAAAUUCUGGUCUCCAGUUUCCAUAUGUGAUAGCUAAUUUGGAGAUGGCUUCCACAGUGAACCAGGGAAGAGCCGCAUUCUCAACACAAUCUCUCAUGGUCGGGACCUAGACAGUUAGAGAUUGGAAAAGCCGAGAUGCAACCUUGGGUCUUCGUUCUCGGCUCUGCGGCCUGCGCCAUGAAAAUCCUUUGCUUCGCCAGUUCUCUUCCUUGGGGGGGUCACGGGCGCUUUCGUUUCAGACCAGACUUCCCAGUAUUCUGUAAGCCCUUGAUCUCAGCUGAACAGGUGCGGGGGUCUCGCCUUCCAUGGUUUGGCCCCGGCGCGGCAGCAGCAGCAGCAGCAGGGCGGGCGCGGCGGCGGCGGCGGCGGCGGCGGCGGCGGCAGGACGAGCAGCGGCGGCGGUUAUUGUUGUUGGUGGCGGGGGUAGUGUUGGCGAAGUGGGGGAGGGAGGGGGUUUCUCCCGGAGAAUCGAGGCGGGUUUCCCUCCCCCUAUCUGCAAAGCUCCUGGAAACGAGGGAGCCCGGCGUCUUGCUGCAGGAUGGGCCCCCCCACUCGCUGCCGGCUCGGCCCCGGCGGAGGCGCUCCCACCUACUGCAUUACCGGGUGGUGCUGAACUGGACAGCUCCCCGCGCCGCCCGCUCCGCGCUCCCCGGCUCCCAGGGCGGCCCGCCAGGAGGGGGGCGCGGGCCGGAGUCCUCCCUCGCCUCGGGGGGCAGCCAGGCCAGGGCAGAGCGGGGGCUGCCUCUCCUCUUUUUACCCCUCUCCCAAAUCCUAAAAUGAGCGCUCUCCUGGGCUCCCGGAGCUUAGAGGAAGGCGUAGCUAGAGACAGCUCGCUCUCUCUCCCUCUCUCUCUCUCUCACUCUCUCUCCCCCUCCCUCCCCCCCUUGGUAUUUCUUCCAGCUCAGCCUCCUUCUCAUUCCAUCUCUACGUGCCCAGAGCUUCAAAUACAAUCCUCCCAUCACAAUCAGACGGGCACAAAACUUCAACCGGCCUUUUCUCUGCCUGGAAGCUGUGAAAACAUAACCUGGAUGGGAUCUGGUUCUUGCUGGGUCUUCAUUGAUCUAUAUGAACUUUGGGGUUAUUUUACUCAAUGA
rnacentral:lncRNA from 1 species